rnacentral:rRNA from 1 species
CCCUUAGAUGUCCGGGGCCGCACGCGCGCUACACUGAAGGAAUCAGCGUGGCUUUCUCCCUGACCCGAAAGGGUUGGGAAACCCGGUGAAUCUCCUUCGUGAUAGGGAUUGGGGCUUGAAAUUGUUCCCCAUGAACGAGGAAUUCCCAGUAAGCGCGAGUCAUAAGCUCGCGUUGAUUACGUCCCUGCCCUUUGUACACACCGCCCGUCGCUACUACCGAUUGAACGGUUUAGUGAGGGCCUCGGAUUGGUCUCGGCCCGCUCUUUACCGGGCGGCGCCGUUGGUCGAGAAGACGCUCGAACUUGAUCGUUUAGAGGAAGUAAAAGUCGUAACA